rnacentral:rRNA from 1 species
UACGUAGGGGGCUAGCGUUGUCCGGAUUUAUUGGGCGUAAAGAGCGUGUAGGCGGCCAUGUAGGUCCGGUGUGAAAACUCGAGGCUUAACCUCGAGAUGUCAUCGGAAACCAUUUGGCUAGAGUCCGGAAGAGGAGAGUGGAAUUCCUGGUGUAGCGGUGAAAUGCGCAGAUAUCAGGAAGAACACCAAUGGCGAAAGCAGCUCUCUGGGACGGUACCGACGCUGAGACGCGAAAGCGUGGGGAGCGAACAGG